UACGGAGGGGGCGAGCGUUAUUCGGAAUUAUUGGGCGUAAAGGGCGCGUAGGCGGCCCGCUAAGUCAAAGGUGAAAUCCCUCGGCUCAACUGAGGAACUGCCUUUGAGACUGUCGGGCUUGAGGCCGGGAGGGGGUAGCGGAAUUCCCAGUGUAGCGGUGAAAUGCGUAGAUAUUGGGAGGAACACCAGUGGCGAAGGCGGCUACCUGGACCGGUUCUGACGCUGAUGCGCGAAAGCGUGGGGAGCAAACGGG
rnacentral:rRNA from 1 species